rnacentral:rRNA from 1 species
CCUACGGGGGGCAGCAGUGGGGAAUCUUCCGCAAUGGACGAAAGUCUGACGGAGCAACGCCGCGUGAGUGAUGACGGCCUUCGGGUUGUAAAGCUCUGUUAAUCGGGACGAAUGGCUACCAUGCGAAUAGUUUGGGAGUUUGACGGUACCGGAAUAGAAAGCCACGGCUAACUACGUGCCAGCAGCCGCGGUAAUACGUAGGUGGCAAGCGUUGUCCGGAAUUAUUGGGCGUAAAGCGCGCGCAGGCGGAUCUGCCAGUCUGUCUUAAAAGUUCGGGGCUCAACCCCGUGAUGGGAUGGAAACUACAGAUCUAGAGUAUCGGAGGGGAAAGUGGAAUUCCUAGUGUAGCGGUGAAAUGCGUAGAUAUUAGGAGGAACACCAGUGGCGAAGGCGACUUUCUGGACGAUCACUGACGCUGAGGCGCGAAAGCCAGGGGAGCGAACGGGAUUAGAUACCCCAGUAGUC